AAGGAAGUAAGAUCCCUGAAAGAUGAUCAGGUUGAUAGGUCUGAGGUGGAAGUGUGGCGACACAUGGAGCUGACAGAUACUAAUCGAUCGAGGACUUAACCUA
rnacentral:rRNA from 1 species